AAUGUAUCAAAAUUAAGGGGUUUUGGUCAAUUUGGUAAAGCUUGGCAUUAGGGAGUUUUGUUAAACAGAAAUUCGACAGUUGAAUAAAGGUUUUAUGGUCAAUUUUGGUAACAGCUGGCAUUAGGGAGUUUUGUUAACAUCAGAAAUUUGCGAAAUGUUUGAAAUAAAGGGUUUUAUUGGUCAAUUUUGGUAACAGCUGGCAUUAGGGAGUUUUGUUAACAUCGGAAUUUUGUGAAAUGUUUGAAAUAAAGGGUUUUAUUGGUCAAUAUUGGUAACAACUUGCAUUAGGGAGUUGCCCUGUUAACAUAUAAUUGGCCUUUUCAGAAUCUAAAGGACUAUGGGUAUCUCAUUGUUUGUACACCCAAAUGAAAAUAAUGUUACGUCAUUGGUUGAAUUAUCAUUGUUAAGUACGUUUUAAAUCAAUCAUAACAUUUUGGUGUAAGCUUUUGAAAUUUUUUCCUACAAUGCAUUAGAUUCUGAAACAGCAAAUUAUAAGGGUAGGGUGAAUAGGGCAGACAUUUUUCUUUUUAGUUUUCCGAACUAUCAUUUCUUGUGUGAUUAACUGGCUUCUUGGUUCUUUUUGUGGUUUUUAAUGUGACAUUCUGGAGGGGGGCGGGGGGUCGGAAGGGUCCUGAUCCUGAAAUCCUGGGCUUAAAAACAUGAAAUCCUGAUGUCCCGAAUUUAAAAAAAAUCAAAUUCCUACAUCCUGAAAUUUGAAAAAAGAAAUCCCAGAUUUUGUAAGGGUCAAUCCAGAAAUUCCAAGCCGAAAAACACCUGAUCCUGACGUCCCGAAACCCCCCCUUCUCAUUCUAGACACAAUUUUAGGGGUUGUACAUUUGAUGGUAUUAGUGAUGUAUGAAAUCCAGGGAUAUUUGUAUCAGUGGUAUUUUCUCAGCAUGUGAUAAAAGAUUUUUCAGUAAUGGUGGCAUUACUCUUUUUUGGUGGCAUAACUCAUAUUAUAUCUAUUUUAUAAUUUUAUUGCUAAUUAUUGAUCAUGACAUGUGAUAUUGGUGAUGUCAUAAAUAUGUACUGUAUACUCACAAAUUCAUGUUGCCUAUUGUUCAAAGUUAUUGAAAUAUGUGCCAUUUCUUUUCAUUUUUCUUCCAUUGUAUACAGAAUUAAUUUCAUAUUGGCUGACAAUGGCUUCAUUGUAUAUACUUGAGGGGGUCAGAGGGGUCCUGAUCCCGAAAUCCUGGACUUAAAAACAUGAAAUCCCGAGGUCCUGAAUUUAAAGAAAUUUAAAUCCUGAUAUCCGGAAAUUUGAAAAAAAAAUUCUGAGAUCUCGAAAGGAUCAAUCCCGAAAUCCUGAGCUUAAAAAUACCUGAUCCUGACGUCCUGGAAAAGGUCAUGCCCCCCCCACUCAUACUUAGUUGUUACACAAUUUUCAUUUUGAAUGUUAUACAUGAAAGCAAAAGCAGCAGUGAACAGGUGAACAAAUAGAACAGAUGAAAAGAUAAGGCCAAUAUUGAGAUUAGUACUGCUCCAUAAUUAACAUUAUCAUUUCAUGUAAACAAAUUUAAUACUGUAAAUUCAGAAAUUAUUGCGAUUUUUCAAUAAUGGACAAAAAUGUGAGUUUAGUUAUUGUGAUUUUUAAAAAAAUCUGCAUACAGGUCUAUGUUUCAGUAAUCAGAAUGCUAGUUCUUAUUAUUGUGAUACCCAUCCAGUAGCAUUAUUCACAUUAAUAAAAACCUCCCAAUAAUUUACAGUAAUCAUUGAUUUCUAAAAAAUUACCAUAUCUUGUACUAAGUAGUUGUGUGGUUUGUUAGAUAUGUAUAUACAGGGAUACGUGUGUUCUAAUUGUGUGGAUUUUUGUUGUUGUCUGGUUUAAGUGUUUUGAUUUGAUACAUGUGAUUAACAUAUAUGAAUGAAAUUGUCAUUACUAUCAAUUCUAAUAUGACAUGCUUCUUUCGAUUUGUGAAUAAACCCUUGCUCUAAAUCCAUUAAAAUUUGUUUGCACAUGCGUAUAUUGACUUCUUCAGACUAAUGAAUUUUAUCAAUUAUCAUGCACUUAAUAUAUUUCCUUAACUUUAAAACACUUUCAAACUCUUAAAUGGUGCACAUGAUGUUACUAAUUCAUUUAUUAUGACUGUUAUGUGCUGCAUUCCGAAAUUGACAUAUUUGACCUAGAUACAACAACCGUUCAUGCUGGCUGUUUAAACUCUCC
rnacentral:lncRNA from 1 species